rnacentral:rRNA from 1 species
GACGAACGCUGGCGGCGUGCUUAACACAUGCAAGUCGAACGGAAAGGCCCUGCUUUUGUGGGGUGCUCGAGUGGCGAACGGGUGAGUAACACGUGAGUAACCUGCCCUUGACUUUGGGAUAACUUCAGGAAACUGGGGCUAAUACCGGAUAUGAGCUCCUGCUGCAUGGUGUUGGUUGGAAAGUUUCGGCGGUUGGGGAUGGACUCGCGGCUUAUCAGCUUGUUGGUGGGGUAGUUGCUUACCAAGGCUAUGACGGGUAGCCGGCCUGAGAGGGUGACCGGCGACAAUGGGACUGAGAUACGGCACAGACUACUACGGGAGGCAGCAGUGGGGAAUAUUGCACAAUGGGCGGAAGCCUGAUGCAGCAACGCCGCGUGCGGGAUGACGGCCUUCGGGUUGUAAACAGCUUUAGCCUGUGACGAAGCGUGAGUGACGGUAAUGGGUAAAGAAGCACCGGCUAACUACGUG